CCCCAGACAAUCCAUGCGUUUCUCUUGUCCUUCAUUCCACCGGAGUCUGUCUCAUACCCAAUCAGAUUUCAGUGGAGUGAAGUUCAGGAGACAUGGAGCGGA
rnacentral:pre_miRNA from 12 species